CUGGUAGCUCAGUGGGUAGAGCGCUCCACUUGUAAUGGAGAGGUCCCGGGUUCGAUACCCGGGCCAG
rnacentral:tRNA from 1 species